rnacentral:rRNA from 1 species
AGUGAACGCUGGCGGUAGGCCUAACACAUGCAAGUCGAACGGCAGCACAGGAGAGCUUGCUCUCUGGGUGGCGAGUGGCGGACGGGUGAGGAAUACAUCGGAAUCUACUCUGUCGUGGGGGAUAACGUAGGGAAACUUACGCUAAUACCGCAUACGACCUACGGGUGAAAGCAGGGGAUCUUCGGACCUUGCGCGAUUGACUGAGCCGAUGUCGGAUUAGCUAGUGGGCGGGGUAAAGGCCCACCAAGGCGACGAUCCGUAGCUGGUCUGAGAGGAUGAUCAGCCACACUGGAACUGAGACACGGUCCAGACUCCUACGGGAGGCAGCAGUGGGGAAUAUUGGACAAUGGGCGCAAGCCUGAUCCAGCCAUACCGCGUGGGUGAAGAAGGCCUUCGGGUUGUAAAGCCCUUUUGUUGGGAAAGAAAUCCAGCUGGCUAAUACCCGGUUGGGAUGACGGUACCCAAAGAAUAAGCACCGGCUAACUUCGUGCCAGCAGCCGCGGUAA